CUCAAAACUUAUCACCUUCCUACUCAUUUUACUCCAUUGUACUGCAUCUAUGUUCUUAAGGCUACUUCCACCUGCUGCGUGUCUGUGGUGGAAACCGUGCAUAGCGACACGCUACUGCAUGUCUCUUCCCAAUUUUGCAUUGGUGAUAUCACUAUGAUAGCUGGAAAUUGGCCAUGGUGGGAAUAUGUACACUAGGCAGACUGUCAGGCAGAACCAACUGGUUUGGUUUAUUGUUUUGUUGAUUGUCCAAGUCAGUAGUCCUGAACUGGGGGGGGGGGGAUUUUGCCCCCAGGGGACAUUUGGCACUAUAUGGAGGCACUUUUGGCAGGGCGGGAACACUGCUGGCCUCCAGUGGGUAGAGGCCAGGAAUGCCGUUGAACCUCCUACAAUGCACAGGACAGCUCUGCUCUACCCCCCGCCACCAACUCCCAAACCAAGAACUCUCUGUUCCACAACAUCAAUGGUGUGAAAGUUGAGAAAUCUCGGUCUAGAUAUAAGAAAAUGAUGGGAAUUUUUAGUAAUGUAAAAUAAACUUAAGAGUGUGUUAUAUCUGUCCUUAUUACAUUGUGAAUAACACACACACAUACACAGACGGAAAAAAAAAUUGAGGAAAUAUUCUUCCAGUAUUUGAAAACCAUUACUUGAUUUGGCAAAGAAGUUGCUCAAGUCAUUGGCAACUGAAUAAAAUUCUGAUACAUAUCUUCAUCUUUGUUUUUCACUAAAUGAAGAUAUCACCCAAUGUUCACACUGGAACUACACUCGUCCAACAAUUGCAACCUUAGAUUGGCUGCAGGAACGAGAGUUCAGCAAAAUUCAGCAAAAGCACUCUGUAAGAAUCAAUUGGCUAUGUGGAAUCUACCAUGAAAUUAUGAUGAUUAUUUGUAAGUUGUGUGAUAAACAUCCUUCAUAUCAGUAAAAUUUGUGUGUAUGUGCAUUGUUUUUCCUGAGCAGCCUGUUGAUAAACAUUUACCAGCACACCAGCAGCUAGAGGUUGCAGAGUUAUCGGAUUUAGAUGUAACGCUCUCAUUCUGCUUCCUACACAAUAUGUUCAUGAAUUUUCUAUCUAGAGAAAGCGCAGUACUGUACAGUUCUGGGAAACUGUUUUUUUUGGGAAGAACUGGGGUAGGGAUGAAUGCAAACGCAUGCCCAGGCUGGCUCUGUGCGUGGGUGGGGUAGGAUGCUUCUCCUGCAAUGUGGCUUGGGCACACAGCAAGGCUAUCUGCCGCUCCCUCCCUACCCCUCCAGGGGCCUCUCUACAGUGUUUGACACGGGCCCUUUUGGAGACAGGUGGGUUGUCACUAGGCUAAAAAAAAAAAAAAUGGGUGCAGGGACAGAAGGGAAGGGGGUGGGUAAUGCAGUCACUGAGAGUUUGGGCAGGAUUUUGAUCAUGCAUUUAACCUGUUAGAUCCCACGGUAGUCCAUGUGGAGCUGAAGUCAGAAGAAAGGGCCAACAGGCCUGGUCAAUUCUGAUAGCAGGAAUGGAACCGGAGCACCCUGCGUGUUCUAAGUCAGUGUGGCACAUUCUGAUGAAAGCACAUGACACUGAGGGAACCUGAGGGAACCGGCCGAGGGCUCGCAAAGGAAGGGACGGGGCCAGUGUCAUCUGCUUCCCAGUUGACGUGCUUCCCAGGACACGAAGACUGAAUCUAGACAAACGGGUGCAGCUUUUAAGAAGCCAACUUCGAUAUUCUGAGGGUCUCCCCACCCCCAGCACACCACAUCUUAGUGCUGGGCCUCUGUCCAGGCGAUCAGAAUCAUUCUGGAUCUCUCAUCGGAUAGCUUUAAGGAUUUGGGAGCACACGUCUUUGUCCGGAAUUAACUCAACAAGGAUACUGUGAAAUGACUAACUCCUUUCAGGAAAUAUGGGCCAGCAGUGUGGCGGGGAGUGAAAAAUCCACCCGUCACCUUGUCAGAGACUGUUCUACCCCACCGGCCACAGAACAGCAGAGGAGGCCACGAAGCUUAAUUUCCCAUUUUACUGUCUGCCUUCGGGGACAGUCCCAGCUGGAAAUCUGUGACCUCAGAUCCAUACUUCCCACAACACAGUGUCUGAGUGACCUCGAAAAGUACCGAGUAGAACAAGACAUCAUUGCCCUGUAGAAGUGAUUUUGUAGCAGACUUCUCCACCGUGGCUGCUGAUUCUGCCUUGGCGAUGGCAGGGAAGGACCCCGGCCCCUCCCGUGUGGUCCAGGGUGGACCGCAGGCCAGAAGGUCGGGCAACGAGGAAGUGGUAUCCUGUUUGCUUCAAAUUAAAAUGAACAGAUGGUA